CAUUAAAGAGAAGCAGCGUCUGUGAGCAGCCUCCUCUUCCUCCUCCUCCUCUUCCUCCUCCUCUGGCCAAAUUACUGCAAACAAAAAGAGAAUGUCCAAAAUGACGAUCUUUCAGCUCGGAGUGAUUUUGUUCACCAUAUGUUUAUCAACGCAGGUGGUUUCCCAGACCACCCAGGCAAUGGCGAACUCCACACGCAACCAAAACGCCACCACCAUGGCAACAAACACCCACAGCAGUGCGGCCAACACUACCGCCCCGGUUGGAAGGGGCGUCUCGCUGCUCGCAGGCACCGUCUCCUUCCUGAUCCCCGUCGUCACGGCAGCCUCUGUCCAUCAGCGCUAUUGUUAAAGGCUCGGACGCCACAGGGCCCCCCAACCCCCCCCCCCUUACUCGGCAUCAACACUCCUCCUCAUCUUAUCAUCCCACCCACUCCAGCCUCACUCCUCUCCUCUUCACCGCACCGCACCGGGACCACAAGACCAACAUGGAUGGACUCUAAAAUCUUUUUUUUUGGCCCCCCCCUUCCAUAAAUUCAUUAUAAAAAAAUCUGUAAUUCAAGACGUUUCUUUUAAUAAAGGGGGUUUAACCGUCGACUGGAGAUCAUCACCAAACCCCUUCAGCCCCUUGCAUGGAAUCAGAAGGAAUGGCGGUUGGCCCAGCUUCCCUUUUGGCCUGCGUUUCCAUAGUUACGUCAUUGAAUUUUGAUCAGGGCUGCGGUUGUAAUAUCAAAUGUCCUGAUUGAAAUGCGGACCACUUGAGUGUACAGAGGUUUUAUUUGUGGCUUUAAUUAGACUCAAUAAUAUUUUUGUCUGUGAAGUUGACUUUGGCACACACAGUAGGAGUUUUCUUCAAGAAAGUUUGAGCCAGAUGACAAAUUUGAAUCAGGUUCUUUCAUAAUUUGCCUCUCUGGUCUUUUUUAUUAGAAUUGUCUAAGAAAUGUUUGUAGCAAAUAAGUUGCCACAAGACUUGUGUCAGUUUUGCCUUGUGACGUGUAAAGAGUUGCGGUCUUAUACAAUGAGGGUUUUAAUGACACCUUUCCCUCCUUCAACCAUGGGUUAGACCCAGGGAGUGGCUGUAUGUAUAUUAUAACCAUAUGGGAAGGGUUGGCGUUAGAUUUAUAUUCUACCCUUGUAGUUUAUAUUUUGUAAAAAUUAAAAAUGUUGUACUGGUUAAUAGUUUGGGUAUAAAAUAAUGGAAGAAAUUAAAAUGUACAAUAAAUUAUGAAAAAUGAA